GCUCAUUUGGCCGAGUGGUCUAAGGCGGUUAGUACAUCACUCCGAGCUUGUAUGUAUCGACAAAGCUAACAGAUUCACAGAUGGUUUUAAGGAUUUAUUUCCACCACCAUUAUCGAAAGAUGCGUGCGUUCGAACCGCACAGUGAGCA